UUCAUACGCAGGUCUCAACAGUGUGUGCACGUAACAAAUAUGUGCACGUGUUCAUAUACAGGUGUGUAUCAACAGUUAAGUGUGCACGUGCUCAUAUACAGGUGUGUAUCAACAGUUAAGUGUGCAAGUGUUCAUAUACAGGUGUGUAUCAACAGUCAAGUGUGCACGUGCUCAUAAACAGGUGUGUAUCAACAGUUAAGUGUGCACGUGCU